CUACGGAGGGUGCAAGCGUUAUUCGGAAUUACUGGGCGUAAAGCGUACGUAGGCGGACUGGAAAGUUGGGGGUGAAAUCCCGGGGCUCAACCCCGGAACUGCCUCCAAAACUUCCAAUCUAGAGAUCGAGAGAGGUGAGUGGAAUUCCAAGUGUAGGGGUGAAAUUCGUAGAUAUUUGGAGGAACACCAGUGGCGAAGGCGGCUCACUGGCUCGAUACUGACGCUGAGGUACGAAAGCGUGGGGAGCAAACAGGAUUAGAAACCCUUGUAGUCC
rnacentral:rRNA from 1 species